GCCCUCAUAGCUCAGCGGUAGAGCGUUACCUUGGUAAGGUAAAGGUCCUGUGUUCAAAUCACAGUGAGGGCA
rnacentral:tRNA from 1 species